UACGGAGGGUGCAAGCGUUAUCCGGAUUCACUGGGUUUAAAGGGUGCGUAGGUGGGCAGGUAAGUCAGUGGUGAAAUCUCUGGGCUUAACUCAGAAACUGCCAUUGAUACUAUCUGUCUUGAAUACCGUGGAGGUCAGCGGAAUAUGUCAUGUAGCGGUGAAAUGCUUAGAUAUGACAUAGAACACCGAUAGCGGAGGCAGCUUACUACGCGAUUAUUGACACUGGAGGCACGGAAAGCGUGGGGAUCAAACAGG
rnacentral:rRNA from 1 species